UACGGAGGUUGCAAGCGUUAUCCGGAUUCACUGGGUUUAAAGGGUGCGUAGGCGGGCAGGUAAGUCCGUGGUGAAAUCUCUGAGCUUAACUCAGAAACUGCCAUGGAUACUAUUUGUCUUGAAUGUUGUGGAGGUAAGCGGAAUAUGUCAUGUAGCGGUGAAAUGCUUAGAUAUGACAUAGAACACCAAUUGCGAAGGCAGCUUACUACACAAAUAUUGACGCUGAGGCACGAAAGCGUGGGGAUCAAACAGG
rnacentral:rRNA from 1 species